rnacentral:rRNA from 2 species
GGGCGGUUCGCCGCCGACGACGUCGCGAGAAGUUCACUGAACCUUAUCAUUUAGAGGAAGGAGAAGUCGUAACAAGGUUUCCGUAGGUGAACCUGCGGAAGGAUCAUUG